UUAUGUGACUAAGUGUUGAAGAUCUCCCUCCUCGCAACAUCAUUAUUUCCCUCUCUUAAUUGACAGAUGAAAGUGUUGGUAAGAUUUUCAAUGUUGUCUCUUGAGGGUUCAUUAUUGUAGUAAUUUUCUUCUCAAGGAUCAUGGGGGUAUCCACUACUUUUUCUUUAUUCUGCUUUUCCUCUCUCUAUGAACACGAAUCAAGUUCAAUGUUUCUUUCUGUUGUUUUGAUGCUUGUCUCAUGACUUAGCUAACUGGGAACUACCCUUCUACCUCUCGCUCGCCUGCUCCCUCCCUCUUUUCCUCCUGUUUUGUAUGUGCGGAUGGUGAGUGAUAAUGAUCUGGUAGGGAAGCUGAUGUGUGGCGUAUCGUGGAGCGACUAGCAUUCAUUAUUUAUUGACUCUUUGUUGGAAGUUGGAGAAGUUAUGCUUUCACUAAUAUUAUUUUGGUUAAAUCUACAGAACUCCAUUUAGUGUUCUCUGUGAAAAUCCUUAGUGUCUCUAAAUGGACCCCUAACUUUUACGAAGCUUAUUCCUUUUUUUUUGAUAAGGUAAUUAACUUUAUUAUCAUUUGUGGGGGAACCCCAUGUAUGAAAAUUCUUAUAGUCUCUCUAAAUGGACCCCUAACUUUUACUAAGCUUAUUCCCUUUUUGUUAUUAGGUAAUUAACUUUAUUAACAUUUGUGGGGGAACCCCAUGUACAUGCCAUAUACCAAAAAAGAGAACCUACACCAAAAUAUGGUUCUCAACAAACGUGAUACAAGUAGGGACUUUAUGAGUACACCAAAAAGAAAGUAGAAAGAAAAGACUACUUUGCAAUUUUGUAAACUCUUCUUCCACCCCUUCAAAUGCCUUUCUAUUUCUCUCUUUCCAAAUAACGCUCAUGACAGUAUCGUCAAAGGCUCGCUUAAAACUCGCUUAAGCCUUGACGCAAGGCUCAAAACAUGUUGAGCGCUUCGCCUCGCUUUGUUGGCGCUUUAAUGUCACAUCAAGGCUCUAAAGCAUACUUUUCAGCGACACUAAACAAUUUAUAUUUCACUUAUCGUAAUUUUUUUUUCAAUUUCUUUGUCUAUAUAUUUGUUAUUUAUGCUUAUUAUUAUUAGUCUUGGACUACAUAUACAUAUUUUUACUUUUUCUCCGGUUGUGCCUUUUUUCAUUAAAGCCCACGCUUUAUUUGCGCUUUGCGCUUAAAGCCACAAUGGACCUUAGAGCUUUUUUGCGCUUUUCGCCUUUGAUAACACUGGUUCAUGAUUGCUAAGCUUAUUCCUUAAAGAAAUAUUCAUUCUCCUUCACGAAUGCAAUAGUUAUUUGCCACGAUAUCUUCUUAAUGCAUAGAAACAACUGUGUGCUCCAUCAAUUGUCGUUGGCCAGAAUAUUACUUUGCAUCCUCAGUCCUGCAUUGUUUAAAAAGAUUUAUGUAUUUUUGGACCAUGUUCCUGCAUUACACCAAAACGAUUCUGUUGGUGUGUGAUUGAAUUAUAAGAGAGAGAGAGUCAUCACUUUGAGGAUAUGUUUGCUAGUUCUGCUGCCCUACAGGGAGCAGAGAGUGCUACUUUUGCUUUUGUCUUUGAUAAGCUUCCUUAGUUUUGCAGGCUUGCACCUAGUUAUCACUUGACAAGGAACUUGUUUAUAGUUCCUAUUUUGAUUUGCC
rnacentral:lncRNA from 1 species